GCCGCGUGGGUGAUGAAGGCUUUCCAGUUGUAAAACCCUUUACUGGGGGAUGAGUAAGGACAGUACCACAGCAACCAGUCUCGGCUAACUACCUGCCAGCAGCCGCGGUGAGACCUAAGAAGCGAGCGUUAUCCGGAUUCCCUGGGCGUAAAGGGCAAGUAGGCGGUUGUUCAAGUUGGGCGUGACAGAUCUCGGCUUAACUGAAAAAGGUCGUCCCAUACUGAACGACUAAAGGGCAAGAAAAGAAAACGGAACUCCCGAUGUAACGGUGGAAUGGUCCAAAAUCGGGAAGAACCCCCGUGGCGAAGGGGGCUUUCUGGGCUGCACCUGAAGCUGAAAGGCGAAAGCUAAGGUAGCAAAAGGGCUUAAAUACCCCGGUAGUCCUAGCUGUAAACCUUGGAAACUUAGUAAUUGGGGGCAAGGGCAUCAGUGGCCAAACCAACCCGUUAAAUAUCCCGCCUGGGGACUACCACCCCCAGGUUAAAACUUCAAAGGAAUU
rnacentral:rRNA from 1 species